GAUUAAGUUAUUAAGGGCGCACGGUGGAUGCCUUGGCACUAGAAGCCGAUGAAGGACGUUACUAACGACGAUAUGCUUUGGGGAGCUGUAAGUAAGCUUUGAUCCAGAGAUUUCCGAAUGGGGAAACCCAGCAUGAGUUAUGUCAUGUUAUCGAUAUGUGAAUACAUAGCAUAUCAGAAGGCACACCCGGAGAACUGAAACAUCUUAGUACCCGGAGGAAGAGAAAGAAAAUUCGAUUCCCUUAGUAGCGGCGAGCGAAACGGGAAGAGCCCAAACCAACAAGCUUGCUUGUUGGGGUUGUAGGACACUCUAUACGGAGUUACAAAGGACGACAUUAGACGAAUCAUCUGGAAAGAUGAAUCAAAGAAGGUAAUAAUCCUGUAGUCGAAAAUGUUGUCUCUCUUGAGUGGAUCCUGAGUACGACGGAGCACGUGAAAUUCCGUCGGAAUCUGGGAGGACCAUCUCCUAAGGCUAAAUACUCUCUAGUGACCGAUAGUGAACCAGUACCGUGAGGGAAAGGUGAAAAGCACCCCGGAAGGGGAGUGAAAUAGAACCUGAAACCGUGUGCUUACAAGUAGUCAGAGCCCGUUAAUGGGUGAUGGCGUGCCUUUUGUAGAAUGAACCGGCGAGUUACGAUUUGAUGCAAGGUUAAGCAGUAAAUGUGGAGCCGUAGCGAAAGCGAGUCUGAAUAGGGCGUUUAGUAUUUGGUCGUAGACCCGAAACCAGGUGAUCUACCCUUGGUCAGGUUGAAGUUCAGGUAACACUGAAUGGAGGACCGAACCGACUUACGUUGAAAAGUGAGCGGAUGAACUGAGGGUAGCGGAGAAAUUCCAAUCGAACCUGGAGAUAGCUGGUUCUCUCCGAAAUAGCUUUAGGGCUAGCCUCAAGUGAUGAUUAUUGGAGGUAGAGCACUGUUUGGACGAGGGGCCCCUCUCGGGUUACCGAAUUCAGACAAACUCCGAAUGCCAAUUAAUUUAACUUGGGAGUCAGAACAUGGGUGAUAAGGUCCGUGUUCGAAAGGGAAACAGCCCAGACCACCAGCUAAGGUCCCAAAAUAUAUGUUAAGUGGAAAAGGAUGUGGCGUUGCCCAGACAACUAGGAUGUUGGCUUAGAAGCAGCCAUCAUUUAAAGAGUGCGUAAUAGCUCACUAGUCGAGUGACACUGCGCCGAAAAUGUACCGGGGCUAAACAUAUUACCGAAGCUGUGGAUUGUCCUUUGGACAAUGGUAGGAGAGCGUUCUAAGGGCGUUGAAGCAUGAUCGUAAGGACAUGUGGAGCGCUUAGAAGUGAGAAUGCCGGUGUGAGUAGCGAAAGACGGGUGAGAAUCCCGUCCACCGAUUGACUAAGGUUUCCAGAGGAAGGCUCGUCCGCUCUGGGUUAGUCGGGUCCUAAGCUGAGGCCGACAGGCGUAGGCGAUGGAUAACAGGUUGAUAUUCCUGUACCACCUAUAAUCGUUUUAAUCGAUGGGGGGACGCAGUAGGAUAGGCGAAGCGUGCGAUUGGAUUGCACGUCUAAGCAGUAAGGCUGAGUAUUAGGCAAAUCCGGUACUCGUUAAGGCUGAGCUGUGAUGGGGAGAAGACAUUGUGUCUUCGAGUCGUUGAUUUCACACUGCCGAGAAAAGCCUCUAGAUAGAAAAUAGGUGCCCGUACCGCAAACCGACACAGGUAGUCAAGAUGAGAAUUCUAAGGUGAGCGAGCGAACUCUCGUUAAGGAACUCGGCAAAAUGACCCCGUAACUUCGGGAGAAGGGGUGCUCUUUAGGGUUAACGCCCAGAAGAGCCGCAGUGAAUAGGCCCAAGCGACUGUUUAUCAAAAACACAGGUCUCUGCUAAACCGUAAGGUGAUGUAUAGGGGCUGACGCCUGCCCGGUGCUGGAAGGUUAAGAGGAGUGGUUAGCUUCUGCGAAGCUACGAAUCGAAGCCCCAGUAAACGGCGGCCGUAACUAUAACGGUCCUAAGGUAGCGAAAUUCCUUGUCGGGUAAGUUCCGACCCGCACGAAAGGCGUAACGAUUUGGGCACUGUCUCAACGAGAGACUCGGUGAAAUCAUAGUACCUGUGAAGAUGCAGGUUACCCGCGACAGGACGGAAAGACCCCGUGGAGCUUUACUGUAGCCUGAUAUUGAAAUUCGGCACAGCUUGUACAGGAUAGGUAGGAGCCUUUGAAACGUGAGCGCUAGCUUACGUGGAGGCGCUGGUGGGAUAUUACCCUAGCUGUGUUGGCUUUCUAACCCGCACCACUUAUCGUGGUGGGAGACAGUGUCAGGCGGGCAGUUUGACUGGGGCGGUCGCCUCCUAAAAGGUAACGGAGGCGCUCAAAGGUUCCCUCAGAAUGGUUGGAAAUCAUUCAUAGAGUGUAAAGGCAUAAGGGAGCUUGACUGCGAGACCUACAAGUCGAGCAGGGUCGAAAGACGGACUUAGUGAUCCGGUGGUUCCGCAUGGAAGGGCCAUCGCUCAACGGAUAAAAGCUACCCCGGGGAUAACAGGCUUAUCUCCCCCAAGAGUUCACAUCGACGGGGAGGUUUGGCACCUCGAUGUCGGCUCAUCGCAUCCUGGGGCUGUAGUCGGUCCCAAGGGUUGGGCUGUUCGCCCAUUAAAGCGGUACGCGAGCUGGGUUCAGAACGUCGUGAGACAGUUCGGUCCCUAUCCGUCGUGGGCGUAGGAAAUUUGAGAGGAGCUGUCCUUAGUACGAGAGGACCGGGAUGGACAUACCUCUGGUGUACCAGUUGUCGUGCCAACGGCAUAGCUGGGUAGCUAUGUGUGGACGGGAUAAGUGCUGAAAGCAUCUAAGCAUGAAGCCCCCCCUCAAGAUGAGAUUUCCCAACUUCGGUUAUAAGAUCCCUCAAAGAUGAUGAGGUUAAUAGGUUCGAGGUGGAAGCAUGGUGACAUGUGGAGCUGACGAAUACUAAUCGAUCGAAGACUUAAUCAA
rnacentral:rRNA from 1 species